rnacentral:rRNA from 1 species
ACGAACGCUGGCGGCAUGCCUAACACCUGCCAGUCGCACGAGACCUUCGGGUCUAGUGGCGCACGGGUGCGUAACGCGUGGGAACCUGCCCUUAGGUUCGGAAUAACUCCCCGAAAGGGGUGCUAAUACCGGAUAAUGUCUUCGGACCAAAGAUUUAUCGCCUUUGGAUGGGCCCGCGUUGGAUUAGCUAGUUGGUAGGGUAAAAGCCUACCAAGGCGACGAUCCAUAGCUGGUCUGGGAGGAUGAUCAGCCACACUGGGACUGAGACACGGCCCAGACUCCUACAGGAGGCAGCAGUGGAGAAUAAUGGACAAUGGGCGAAAGCCUGAUCCAGCAAUGCCGCGUGAGUGAUGAAGGCCUUAGGGUUGUAAAGCUCUUUUACCCGGGAUGAUAAUGACAGUACCGGGAGAAUAAGCUCCGGCUAACUCCGUG